GCAAGAUUCAAUCAGCUGAUAACUAUUUAAAUCACACCCUAUAUUAGGGUUUUGGGUCUCCAAGGGUUUGCGCUUAGAGCCGUCUUCGUUUCACUUUCCUUCUACAGCUAAAGCCGAGCCCUUAGAUCCUCACCUCCACCAACAAUGGCCGUCGGGAAGAACAAGAGGAUUUCGAAGGGAAAGAAAGGAGGCAAGAAGAAGGCAGCGGAUCCAUUUGCAAAGAAGGACUGGUACGAUAUAAAAGCUCCUUCUGUCUUCCAAGUGAAGAAUGUGGGCAAGACUCUUGUUACUCGUACGCAGGGUACUAAGAUUGCUUCUGAAGGACU
rnacentral:misc_RNA from 1 species